CGACGGAGGGUGCGAGCGUUAAUCGGAAUUACUGGGCGUAAAGCGUACGUAGGCGGUUGGUUAAGUUAGAUGUGAAAGCCCCGGGCUUAACCUGGGAACUGCAUUUAAAACUGGCGGACUAGAGUUGAGUAGAGGGGAGUGGAAUUUCAGGUGUAGCGGUGAAAUGCGUAGAGAUCUGAAGGAACACCAGUGGCGAAGGCGACUCCCUGGACUCGAACUGACGCUGAGGUACGAAAGCGUGGGUAGCAAACGGGAUUAGAAACCCCAGUAGUCC
rnacentral:rRNA from 1 species